rnacentral:rRNA from 1 species
AGAGUUUGAUCCUGGCUCAGAAUGAACGCUGGCGGCGUGCUUAACACAUGCAAGUCGAGCGAGAAAGUCUUUGCUUGCAAAGACGAGUAGAGUGGCGCACGGGUGAGUAACACGUAGAUAAUCUACCUUCAAAACUGGAAUAACUAUUCGAAAGGAUAGCUAAUACCGGAUAAAGUUUUUUAACAUAAGUUAAAUUAUGAAAGAUUGCCUCUUCUUGAAAGCAAUUGUUUGGAGAUGAGUCUGCGGACCAUUAGUUUGUUGGUGGGGUAAAGGCCUACCAAGACUGUGAUGGUUAGCUGGUCUGAGAGGAUGAUCAGUCACACUGGAGCUGGAACACGGUCCAGACUCCUACGGGAGGCAGCAGUGAGGAAUUUUGCGCAAUGGGGGAAACCCUGACGCAGCAACGCCGCGUGAGUGAAGAAGGCCUUUGGGUCGUAAAGCUCUGUCAACUGGGAAGAAAUUGUACUUAUCCAAUAGGUAUGUACAUUGACGGUACCAGUGGGGGAAGCGCCGGCUAACUCCGUGCCAGCAGCCGCGGUAACACGGGGGGCGCAAGCGUUAUUCGGAAUUAUUGGGCGUAAAGGGCGCGUAGGCGGUCUUGUCGGUCAGAUGCG